GCUUUCUCCCUCUCCUCACUCUCUCAUUUGGACCCGCGGGAGUUCUUCUCGCGAGGACCCGAGCUUCACGGCGGCCCUUUUUUUUUCCCUGCAUGUACCAGGUGACGGCAGGAAGCCCAGACUUACUUUGGUGAAACACAUAGAGCCUCCUCAUCCCUGAGACAGAUAGAGAGUUUACUGAAAGGAGCUGAAUAUACUACAAGUUUCAGGUCUCAUUGCUCUUUCUCUAACUGUAUACAACAGUGACAUGUCUAUUUAUGGAG